GGACGAACGCUGGCGGCGUGCCUAACACAUGCAAGUCGAGCGAAGUACUUAUCAAUAAGCCUUCGGGCAGAUUGAUAAUCUACUUAGCGGCGGAUGGGUGAGUAACGCGUGAGGAACCUGCCUUCCACAAGGGGAUAGCCUCGGGAAACCGGGAUUAAUACCCUAUGACACUUAAAGGUCCCAUGACUUUUAAGUUAAAGCGUUAGCGGUGGAAGAUGGCCUCGCGUCCCAUUAGCUAGUUGGUGAGGUAACGGCUCACCAAGGCCACGAUGGGUAGCCGGCUUGAGAGAGUGACCGGCCACACUGGAACUGAAACACGGUCCAUACACCUACGGGUGGCAGCAGUAGGGAAUAUUAGUAAUGGGCGAAAGCCUGAACUAGCAACGCCGCGUGUGCGAAGAAGGCCUUCGGGUCGUAAAGCACUUUUUGAGAGGAUGAGGAAGGACGGUACUCUCAGAAUAAGUCUCGGCUAACUACGUGCCAGCAGCCGCGGUAACACGUAGGAGGCAAACGUUAUCCGGAUUUACUGGGCGUAAAGCGCGUGUAGGUGGUUUGGUAAGUAGGGCGUGAAAGCUCCUGGCUCAACUGGGAGAGGACGUUCUAAACUGCCAAGCUUGAGGAUGGUAGAGGGAGGUGGAAUUNNNGGUGUAGCGGUGGAAUGCGCAGAUANNNGGAGGAACACCAGUGGCGAAGGCGGCCUCCUGGACCACUCCUGACACUCAGACGCGAAAGCUAGGGUAGCAAACGGGAUUAGAGACCCCGGUAGUCCUAGCCCUAAACGAUGUAGACUUGGCGUCGGUGGUUUAAUCGCCAUCAGUGUCGUAGCUAACGCGAUAAGUCUACCGCCUGGGGACUACGGCCGCAAGGUUAAAAUUCAUAGGAAUUGACGGGUCCCCGCACAAGCAGCGGAGCGUGUGGUUUAAUUCGAUGCUACACGAAGAACCUUACCUGGGUUUGACAUAGAGGUAGUAGGGAAGCGAAAGCGGACCGACCCUUCGGGGAGCCUCUACAGGUGUUGCAUGGCUGUCGUCAGCUCGUGUCGUGAGAUGUUCGGUUAAGUCCGCUAACGAGCGCAACCCUCGCUGUGUGUUACAAGUGCCACACGGUACUGCCGAUAUUAAGUCGGAGGAAGGUGGGGAUGACGUCAAGUCAGCAUGACCUUUAUAUCCAGGGCUACACACACGCUACAAUGGCCAGUACAAUGGGUUGCCAAGCCGCGAGGCGGAGCCAAUCCUAAAAAGCUGGCCUCAGUUCAGAUUGCAGUCUGCAACUCGACUGCAUGAAGUUGGAGUUGCUAGUAACCGCAGGUCAGCAAUACUGCGGUGAAUACGUUCCCGGGGAU
rnacentral:rRNA from 1 species